GAUAACCACCAUAAAGGGAAAAAUGGUCUCCCUACAAAGUGUAAAAUCAAAAACAGUGGCCAAUGUGGACCAGCUUGUCCACUUCAAAGAGCCAGAGGAGAGGAUCCCAGCAAAGCUAAAAAAAAAGUUAGCAACUCUCCUCUGGCUCACCCCCCACCACAACCACCAUCCAGCCCCUCCACGCCUCUGCAUGCCAGCAGCUCCCCUGGACCCUUGCCAGCCACAUUUCAAGGCACCAGUCAACUCAUCUAUAGUAAUGUUGUCCAAGACAUAUGGAGUUCACGAAAAGGGGAGGUCCUAUGGUCCAAAAUGGGGCCGUAUAAACUAUUUACAGCUGAUUUGCAGAGCCUGGCACCUGAAAGAGAGUUGGAGAGCGAGAUCCAAAUGCCUACCUUCUGUGGGGAACAAAGAAGGUCCCAAAUAAAAAAUACAUGUAAUUGAUUCAUUCGAAAUGACAGCAAGGAAUGGAAUGGCACAUCAAGGGGAAUGAGAAAUGUUAAGAUGAUAGUUACUUUCAAAGUUAUUGGUUACUAUAUAGGCCACCAUCUUUAAAAACUAAAAUGAUUACUUGUAGCUUGAUGUGACCGAAUGGGACACGUUAAUAGGGGCCAUCUGCAAGGACAGACAUUGGACUCUCGUAGUAAGUGCACUUUAAACAAUACUAUUCAACUAUCUUUACAACUCUAAGGAUCAUUUACAUUAAAGUAUGCUGUCUGUAACAGGCCAUGUACCCAAAGGACAGACGGGCCCUAUUUGUUGAUCCUUUCGGAGCCACCCAAAACCAACUGAAACAUUGUAGGGAUGCAACAAGGGCUUUCAUGCGAAAGAAAAACAUGGGCCUAAACCUAUCCAGGUGGUCCUGUGACACAGUUCAACAUCAACGUCAACAGGACUCCCUGAGUCUGUUAACCCUGAAAUGAAGGAAACUCUGCGUUUUCCGUUUCAGAAAGGGAGGUAACUUAAACCAGAGAAAGCAGAGUAACUCCAGCCUGUUUCAGAAAGAGAGGUAACUGAAGCUCGGUGUCAGUUACUAUAGCAACUGACUCUGUGAACCUAACCUGGUCGGGAGCAGGUUUUCUUCAAUGAACCUCGAGUUUCUAGCUGUCUCCUCCCUCUUACGCCACACACGCAGUGUGAUUCAUUCAUUCAUUCAUUCAUUCAUUCAUUCAUUCAUUCAUUCGGUUAGUGUCGCGCGGGUUUCAGCGAGUUUGAUCAUCUGUCCUCAAGGUAAAGUUGGAUCCUAAAGUUUGUUCUAGUUCUAAAUCUACAAUUUUCAACCAUGGCAUGUCCGUUCUUGGAGGACCCUGUGGACGAAGAGGCAGUGUUACUGAGGAGGGAGUUACACAUUCGUCGGGAGAUUAUUCACAGGCUCAGAAUUGACGCAUUAUCAUUUCCAGAACAUUUAAUUUUUGAACGGUACCGUUUCACAUCACA